rnacentral:lncRNA from 1 species
UGGGAAGUUUCUUGGAACUGUGGUGUCUAUGGACUUGGGCUGCAGCAUGUCAGUACGCAUAGUCAAGUUGCAGCAGGUUUCUGCUUCCCUAUAUGGGGCUCUGACAGCUCAGGCUUCUUGAGGAUCUGAUAGUUCAGGCUUCUCGGGUAAGUAUUAGGGGAAAAGGUACCUUCUGUAAGUCCCCUUUUGGAGCCGAUGGAACCUCUGUGUGCUUGGGCUGCACCAAGUUUGGUGCCCUCUGAGUUGGCUUGGGGCAUGAAUGUGUGUCCCCCAUAGUAUGUUAUAUUGAGUGACCUGAAGGAGAGAAUGAAGUAUAAUGUAUUUUGACCCUGAACCCUGACCAUUUCAGAGAUGCAAGGCAGUCAGAUAUAGGGAUGCAUUACUUUGCUGUACAAGAUUGUGAAAUUGUGACCUUCAGGAAUGGUGUGUUUUUGAUUUAUGAUAGUAAGUAACACAGAAGUUUAAUAAUACAUAACUGUCUGGCUUUUGUAUGUGGAAAUUAUACCUUUCAUAUAGAUUCAUAUGGAGCCUUGGUUUUAUUACAAAAGGUGCAGAUUCCAUGAUCCAGCAUCUCAUUUGGCAGCUUGCGUCUGAGUCAGUCCAGCCAGGAGAGUCAAGAGUAUGAUUUUCCCCUGACUCUUACCGCUCUUGUCUGGCUGCAUCAAACAUUGUCAUUGUGAUUCUACUGUGAUUCUACUGUCAUGGGGAAUAUGCAAGGAAAGGAACAAAGGACUUAGAGGUAUAGAAAGACUCAUCAUUUGCAUCUGAUGUGCAUAUUAAUAGCUACUAAUCGACUUACUGUUAUGUAUGUUUCACAGUAAUGUUCGACGAUGUGUCCAUGUAAGAGGAAAAUAUACUGCUUCAGUAAGAUUCCUUGUAAUACUGUACUUAAUGUCAUUUUUUUACUGCCUAUUUUUUUAUCUGAACUGAUAGAUUACCAACUGCACCAGUCCAUCAGGUAACCUUUAGCAUAUAAUCUCCCCCCAUAGAAAUGAUUAGACUACUAAUAUUAUUAGAUACAUUAUUAAACUUUAGCGAUCAGAGACCUGAUCUCUAAAUAAAGGC